GGAUGCCAUCUCUCUAUGCACUGGAGCUUGGCAGCCGUGCCUGCUGAGGCGGAGGGCUGGAGGGAGCACAGAAAGACAUAAGAAACUUGGAAGCUCUAGCGCAAACCCAUCCGUGAACAGAGGAGGAAGCAGGGCCCGGAACUGGCCCCAGUUCAAACAGGGAGGAGGCAGCUGUGGAAUGAGGCCCAGGCCCUGGCCUCCUUCCUCUACCAGGCCCAGGUCCAGGCUCACGGAGAACAGGGUGGAAGCCUUGGGAAACGAGUCUGUGGUUAAUCAUUGUCUCAUCCAGAAGUCUAAGCUGGGCCCAGAGAUGAGGCCCAGGAACCAAGAGGUGCACAGACACCAGAGCCUCUCAUCCACGAUGUUCCCGGCAUCUGCAGCACCAAGGUGGAUGUGUGGGACUGAGCGUCACCUCCAUGACUGUCCUCUGAGGAUUCCGCCUCAUUCCUCUUCUCCCCGUAGCCAUGCCAGGGGGGCAGGGCCGCAGCGCCGAGGCACAGAGUCUACACCAUGUGCCAGGGGCCUGGGGACCCCCUCGGGCUCCUGGCCAGCAGUGCUGUUCUUCCCUGAGCCUCCAUUUCCCCAUCCACAGAAGGCAAGUGGUCUGCGGGACAAAAGUCCAACAUGAGUGUUCCCGGCCCGAAACGCAGGCACUGGCGGCGCCACGCUCCCCCGGAGCCGGGAAGAACCCUUUGCUCGCCUCUUCCGACUUUGGGAGGCCGUGGUUUUGCCUGGUUUGUGGCAGUGUUGAUCAGAAGUUUAAGGCAGGCUCCGCGCUCCAGCUUCCUUCCCCUGGCUCUAUGUGCACACAUGUGCACGUGUGGAACCUCCCGGCUUCCUCCUACACCUGGGAUUGAAUUCAGCGCCUGUCUGGAUAAUCCAGGAUAAUCUCCCUGUCUCGAGUUCCCUCACUGAAUAGCAGCUGCAAAGGCUUUGCCAUGUACAGGGACAAUCGCAGGUUCCUGCGUGCCUAUCUUUGGGCCGCAUAUUCCAGUCUAUUGCAACCCCUACCUCACACCAUGAGCAGAAAGAAAUUCCAGGCCUCGUGGUGAAAGAUUAAAACAGUGAAGCCUUAGAAGAAAAAAUAAGACAACGUCUUCAUGACCUUGGAUAGCUAAAGUUUCUUCAAACUAGAAAGAAAAGCACUAACCAUAAAACAUCUUAAAAAUAGCAAGGCAUAGGG